GUGAGGAAUUUUCCGCAAUGGGCGAAAGCCUGACGGAGCAAUGCCGCGUGAAGGAUGAAGGCCUAUGGGUUGUAAACUUCUUUUCUCAGAAAAGAAUUAUGACGGUAUCUGAGGAAUAAGCAUCGGCUAACUCUGUGCCAGCAGCCGCGGUAAGACAGAGGAUGCAAGCGUUAUCCGGAAUGAGUGGGCGUAAAGCGUCUGUAGGUUGUUUAAAAAGUAAUCUGUCAAAGAUUAGGGCUUAACCCUAGAUAGGCAGAAUAAACUUUUAAGCUAGAGUUUGGUAGAGGCAGAGGGAAUUCCCGGUGGAGCGGUGAAAUGCGUAGAUAUCGGGAGGAACACCAAAGGCGAAGGCACUCUGCUGGGCCAAUACUAACACUGAGAGACGAAAGCGAGGGGAGCAAAUGGGAUUAGAUACCCGGGUAGUCC
rnacentral:rRNA from 1 species